rnacentral:lncRNA from 1 species
CGAUACAGUCGUUGGACAAUAUUACAUAAAUAUGAUAACCGAAUCUUCCCCUUUGGUUGGCUUUUAGAAGAACUAGCGACGUCCACGGUUCCCGCGCCUACGAUUUCCGCGUCCACGGUUACCUUUUCACCGAGUAUUAGAGGACGCUUGUAUCUCCUUAGCUUUGAUGGACGGCUUAACCGGUCUUUCGCACAAAAGUCGUUGUCCAGAAAGAGUC